rnacentral:lncRNA from 1 species
GAGAAGGGACGUCGGAGAGGGCUCCCUGCUGCUGCCCCGUCACGCGUGCCCGCAGUGUACGAGAGUCCUGGCGUUUGUGGAUGGAAAUAGCCUAUGGAGUUGCUGAGGCUGAACACCUUAGGGACCAACAACCAGAUGGUGUCGUUUGCAGUGAAGAUCGAACUCAGAGUUGUAGCCGAAUUGGAGAGGAGAGAGUGACAUGUGCGCCCCCUUCCUGCCGUCGGUAGAUGAACCGUGGGAAGCUCGAGGUAAGGGGUGAAAACGCUCGGCCGCUGGGACAGCGCCGCCCAAGGAGGGCGGGAGG